rnacentral:rRNA from 1 species
GUCCACGCCCUAAACGAUGUCAACUGGUUGUUGGUGGGGUUAAACCCAUUAGUAACGAAGCUAACGCGUGAAGUUGACCGCCUGGGGAGUACGGCCGCAAGGUUAAAACUCAAAGGAAUUGACGGGGACCCGCACAAGCGGUGGAUGAUGUGGUUCAAUUCGAUGCAACGCGAAGAACCUUACCUACCCUUGACAUGCCAGGGAGCCCGAUGAGAGUUGGGUGUGCCCGAAAGGGAGCCUGGACACAGGUGCUGCAUGGCUGUCGU